ensembl:ncRNA K04A8.14 ncRNA
AUGGCAACUUGCCCAAUGGAACGCUUAAAAACUCUAUAAAAUGCUGGCUUGUUAUUUGGACUACAUAAAAGUAGUUAGAAAAUUCUUAUGGACGAUACUCAGCUUCUAAAAUCUUGAAUGUUACA